CUUGACCUCACUUGUGAAAACAAAAGGCAUUCGGUUCCUAGGAAUUAAAACCGCAAGUCUCUUUUUGUUUCCCCUCUUUGUUUCACUCCAGCCCUCAUUCUCUCCACCCUACACGUGAGCUCAGCCCUCUCCCAACUCUCAUCUCUUCAACACGUGAAGCUUGGCAUGGGUAUGAGUUGGAUUUCUCAUUGAAGACAAGGAACAAUUAAGGGUUUAAAGGGCUGAAACCAUAGCUUGAGAUUUGAGCAUGGGUCUUGCUUCCUAGUGAAAGUUUCCAUCAUUUUCAAGCUUUGAGUAACGAUUAUCAACAUCAAAGGUCUGAUUUAUCGAGUAUCUUGAGUGGUUCAUCGCAAGACGUUGUCUAGGAAUCUAUAGUUGAGCGUGUUAUCCGCACAGCCAAGACAUUGAUGUUUUGGUUGCAGGUUCUGUGGAUAUAGAUAUUGACUCGUCCACCUAGCGUAUGGGAUGCUAUGAUUGGAGCACAUCGCGCCAGUCAUAAAUCACGGACUCAUGGGUAGUCUGUAUUUUGGGUAUUUUAUUUGUGGCUCGUGUCCUACGUGGUUUACGUAUUUGAUGAGCCUGUAUUUUGAUAUGUAAUUAUAGUAAAAUGUUUUAUAAGCUUUAAUCAGUUAGACAUGUAAACGACUCUUGUUGUUGAUAACAGUUAUGUAUUAGAUGUAUUUCAGCUAUUGAUAUAUGUUCCGCUACACAUUGAUUAUUAUAUUCCGCUGUGUUAGAUGUAACUCUGAAUAUCAGGUACAUGUUAUGGAA